CCUACGGGGGGCUGCAGUGGGGAAUAUUGGGCAAUGGGCGCAAGCCUGACCCAGCAACGCCGCGUGAAGGAAGAAGGCUUUCGGGUUGUAAACUUCUUUUCUGAGGGACGAAGAAAGUGACGGUACCUCAGGAAUAAGCGACGGCUAACUACGUGCCAGCAGCCGCGGGAAUACGUAGGUGGCAAGCGUUAGCCGGAUUUAUUGGGUGUAAAGGGCGUGUAGGCGGGAAAGCAAGUCAGAGGUGAAAACUCAGGGCUCAACCCUGAGCCUGCAUUUGAAACUGUUUUUCUUGAGUGCUGGGGAGGCAAUCGGACUUCCGUGUGUCGCGGUGACAUGCGUAGCUAUACGG
rnacentral:rRNA from 1 species